UACGGAGGGUGCAAGCGUUGUCCGGAAUCACUGGGCGUAAAGGGUGCGUAGGCGGGUCUUUAAGUCAGGGUGAAAUCCUGGAGCUCAACUCCAGAACUGCCUUUGAUACUGAGGAUCUUGAGUUCGGGAGAGGUGAGUGGAACUGCGAGUGUAGAGGUGAAAUUCGUAGAUAUUCGCAAGAACACCAGUGGCGAAGGCGGCUCACUGGCCCGAUACUGACGCUGAGGCACGAAAGCGUGGGGAGCAAACAGG
rnacentral:rRNA from 1 species